rnacentral:rRNA from 1 species
GAUGAACGCUGGCGGCGUGCCUAAUACAUGCAAGUCGAGCGAACAGACGAGGAGCUUGCUCCUCUGACGUUAGCGGCGGACGGGUGAGUAACACGUGGAUAACCUACCUAUAAGACUGGGAUAACUUCGGGAAACCGGAGCUAAUACCGGAUAAUAUAUUGAACCGCAUGGUUCAAUAGUGAAAGACGGUUUUGCUGUCACUUCUAGAUGGAUCCGCGCCGCAUUAGCUAGUUGGUAAGGUAACGGCUUACCAAGGCAACGAUGCGUAGCCGACCUGAGAGGGUGAUCGGCCACACUAGAACUGAGACACGGUCCAGACUCCUGCGGGAGGCAGCAGUAGGGAAUCUUCCGCAGUGGGCGAAAGCCUGACGGAGCAACGCCGCGUGAGUGAUGAAGGUCUUCGGAUCGUAAAACUCUGUUAUUAGGGAAGAACAAAUGUGUAAGUAACUAUGCACGUCUUGACGGUACCUAAUCAGAAAGCCACGGCUAACUACGUG